CUCCCCCCUGAGCGCUGCCCCCUCCCCAGCCUGCUCAAGGACAGAACAGCCUGGGGGGACCCCAAAAAGGGUCUGGGGGCUCCCCCCUGAGCGCUGCCCCCUCCCCAGCCUGCUCAAGGCCUACGAUGAGCACCAGAAGAUCCUGAAGGCGCACGCGGCCCGGAAACGGGCGCCCGAGAACGGCUCAGACGAACCCGACGACAAACGGCUCCGUCCCGACGCCCCCUCGGGGCUCCCGGGACCCCUCAACUUUUCCGGGGGGGACCCCAACCCCUCCUACAACUACUGGUACCAGCACGGCUACGGCACCUACGGCUACCAGAGCCCCUGGGGCUACGGCCACUACUACGGGCAGAGCUGAGGGGGUCUGCACCCCGCCCUGUACAGACUGUGGGACCCCUCCCCCAAAAUUUGGGGUGGGGGGGCGUUGUAAAUAAAGAGGCUGCGAGGAGUUA